CAGUAGCCGCGGGAAAACGAAGGGGGCUAGCGUUGCUCGGAAUGACUGGGCGUAAAGGGCGCGUAGGCGGCGAUCAAAGUCAGGCGUGAAAUUCCUGGGCUCAACCUGGGGGCUGCGCUUGAUACUGGGUUGCUUGAGUGGGGAAGAGGGUCGUGGAAUUCCCAGUGUAGAGGUGAAAUUCGUAGAUAUUGGGAAGAACACCGGUGGCGAAGGCGGCGACCUGGUCCUUUACUGACGCUGAGGCGCGAAAGCGUGGGGAGCAAACAGGAUUAGAUACCCGUGUAGUCCCUGUCUCUUAUAC
rnacentral:rRNA from 1 species